GACGUAGGGGCCGAGCGUUGUCCGGAGUUACUGGGCGUAAAGCGCGCGCAGGCGGUCCGCCACAUCGUCGGUGAAAGCCCCCCGCUCACCGGGGGAGGGUCCGGCGAGAUGGGCGGACUGGAGGCAGGGAGAGGCCAGUGGAAUUCCGGGUGUAGUGGUGAAAUGCGUAGAGAUCCGGAGGAACACCGGUGGCGAAGGCGGCUGGCUGGACCUGUCCUGACGCUGAGGCGCGAAGGCGUGGGGAGCGAACGGGAUUAGAUACCCCGGUAGUCCACGCGGUAAACGAUGGGCACUAGGUGUGGCGGGAGUUGACCCCUGCCGUGCCGGCGUUAACACAGUAAGUGCCCCGCCUGGGGAGUACGGCCGCAAGGCUAAA
rnacentral:rRNA from 1 species